UACUGGGGGGGCAAGCGUUGUUCGGAAUUCCUGGGCGUAAAGGGCCCGUAGGCGGCCAACUAAGUCGGACGUGAAAUCCCCAGGCUCAACCUGGGAACUGCGUCCGAUACUGGAUGGCUUGAAUUCGGGAGAGGGAUGCAGAAUUCCAGGUGUAGCGGUGAAAUGCGUAGAUAUCUGGAGGAAUACCGGUGGCGAAGGCGGCAUCUUGGACCGACAUUGACGCUGAACGGCGAAAGCUAGGGGAGCAAACGGG
rnacentral:rRNA from 1 species